GGCAACUGGUGUGUCUCCUGGUCUUCAAAACCAGUGUGGGGCGCUAAUACCGUCCCGGGUGGGUUCGAUUCCCACAUGCUUCC
rnacentral:tRNA from 1 species